UCAGGAUGAACGCUAGCGACAGGCCUAACACAUGCAAGGUCAGGGGCAGCACAAGGAGCAAUCUGAGGUGGCGACCGGCGCACGGGUGAGUAACACGUAUGCAACCUGCCUGUAAGCGGGGAAUAACCCGUUGAAAGACGGACUAAUACCGCAUAAUACUAAAUUACUGCAUGGUAAUUUAUUUAAACAUUUAUGGCUUACAGAUGGGCAUGCGCAUGAUUAGCUAGUUGGAGAGGUAACGGCUCCCCAAGGCAACGAUCAUUAGGGGUUCUGAGAGGAAGGUCCCCCACACUGGUACUGAGACACGGACCAGACUCCUACGGGAGGCAGCAGUGAGGAAUAUUGGUCAAUGGACGAGAGUCUGAACCAGCCAAGUCGCGUGCAGGAAGAAAUGUCCUAUGGAUUGUAAACUGCUUUUGCAGGGGAAUAAAGUGCAUCACGUGUGAUGUUUUGUAUGUACUCUGCGAAUAAGGAUCGGCUAACUCCGUGCCAGCCGCCGC
rnacentral:rRNA from 1 species